rnacentral:rRNA from 1 species
UCAGGCCUAACACAUGCAAGUCGAACGGUAACAGGUCUUCGGAUGCUGACGAGUGGCGAACGGGUGAGUAAUACAUCGGAACGUGCCCAGUAAUGGGGGAUAGCCCGGCGAAAGCCGGAUUAAUACCGCAUACGCCCUGAGGGGGAAAGUGGGGGACCGCAAGGCCUCACGUUAUUGGAGCGGCCGAUGGCUGAUUAGCUAGUUGGUAGGGUAAAGGCCUACCAAGGCGACGAUCAGUAGCUGGUCUGAGAGGACGAUCAGCCACACUGGGACUGAGACACGGCCCAGACUCCUACGGGAGGCAGCAGUGGGGAAUUUUGGACAAUGGGGGAAACCCUGAUCCAGCAAUGCCGCGUGUGCGAAGAAGGCCUUCGGGUUGUAAAGCACUUUUGUCAGGGAAGAAAUCCUUGGGCUAAUACCCUAGGGGGAUGAC